GUUUGAGCGAAGUUGUUAGCGGAUGAUAGAAUUAAUGCCUUAAUCUGUAGAUGAUGGGAGCUGUUUGGAUAUAAAAGUAGAACGCUUAGAAAGGGAACAUAGUAAAAACAUGCAAUCAGAACUUACAAUGAAGCUAAAGGAAAUUAUUAAAAUGAAGCUAAAUCAGCUGUUUGGUUUGUAAACAUAUUUAAUGGAUUUAGCAACAUGUGAAGGCCAAAAUCAGCAAUAUUGGUGUUGAAAGUAGAAAGUAACUUAAAAUUAAGAGCUGCAGAUGAAGCAUCUUUCAAACAACACAGCAUCACACAAUUACACAUAUUUCACAUGCAUACUAGAUGAAAGCAGUGUAAUAACAAGAAAGGGCAUUUAAUUUUUAUUUUUU
rnacentral:misc_RNA from 1 species